UGCAUGUCUCAGUGCAACCAAACUAAGGUGAAACCGCAAAUGGCUCAUUAAAUCAGUUAUGGUUCAUUAGAUGAUACACCACUUUACUUGGAUAACUGUGGUAAUUCUAGAGCUAAUACAUGCAAACAGAGUUCCCAUCGGAGACGGUAGGAACGCUUUUAUUAGAUCAAAACCAAUACGUUCGUUCGCGGACGCUACCAUUGGUGACUCUGAAUAACUUUUUGAUGAUCGCAUGGUCCUUGUACCGGCGACAAGUCUUUCAAAUGUCUGCCUUAUCAACUGUCGAUGGUAGGCUCUGCGCCUACCAUGGUUGUAACGGGUGACGGGGAAUCAGGGUUCGAUUCCGGAGAGGGAGCCUGAGAAACGGCUACCACAUCCAAGGAAGGCAGCAGGCGCGCAAAUUACCCACUCCCGGCACGGGGAGGUAGUGACGAAAAAUAACGAUACGGGACUCAUCCGAGGCCCCGUAAUCGGAAUGAGCACACUUUAAAUACUUUAACAAGUAUCCAUUGGAGGGCAAGUCUGGUGCCAGCAGCCGCGGUAAUUCCAGCUCCAAUAGCGUAUAUUAAAGUUGUUGCGGUUAAAAAGCUCGUAGUUGGGACUGUGUCCCGCACUGUCGGUGCGCCAUUUAUGGUGUUUACUGACAUGCUGCGGUACGUC
rnacentral:rRNA from 1 species